AUGGAGUGGAGGGUGCCUGAGGCAACCAAGGAGUUGGACUCCCUUGGAGACGUCUCCGGCAUGCUCAUCGACGACUACUACAACAACAUGAAGAAGAAAAUCACCGACGACGAGCACAAGCGCUGGGCCACCCUGCCUCUAUCCAUGAGGCACAUCGAGUAUGCGGCAAAGGAUGCCUAUGCAGCGAUGGCGCCCGUAGCGGACACAUGCGUGUACACAGAAGGUCUGGAGCUCACCAACGCCGAGUGGCGCAGCAUGCUCGGGUGCCUGAUGAUACCCAACAGUGGGUUUCGGCCGCCAUUUCUUCAUCGCCUCACAACCGUAGAUCUGCAGGAAAGUUGGAAACUGCCAUCCACAAUAAAAUUUCAUGCUCCGAGUUCAGGGAAGAUUACUUUGGAGACAGAACACAAGAAUGGGUAUGCAGACACGCAAGCUGACUACCACAUCGACUCUGAAGACUGCAUCAACAUAACUACUGGUUGGAAAGAUUUUGUCUCCCAGAAUGGCUUUGACGUCGGAGAAGUGGCCAUGGUGUUUUUCUACAAAGCAGAAGACUCCCUCAAGUUUAAAAUAUUUGCACUCUAG
rnacentral:rRNA from 1 species